UACGUAGGUGGCAAGCGUUGUCCGGAUUUACUGGGCGUAAAGGGCGUGCAGGCGGUCUGUUAAGUCUAGGGUGAAAGCUCCCGGCUCAACUGGGAGAGGUCCUUGGAUACUGGCGGACUUGAGGGAGGUAGAGGAAAGUGGAAUUCCCGGUGUAGUGGUGAUAUGCGUAGAUAUCGGGAGGAACAUCAGUGGCGAAAGCGACUUCCUGGACCAGUACCGACGUUCAGGCACGAAAGCGUGGGGAGCAAACAGG
rnacentral:rRNA from 1 species